AAAGCCAGCAUGUUUCUGCAUCCCCAGUCCCACGAGGACAGAUUGCUCCAGUUCUCUGGCCAUCCAGUCCAGCUAAAUCAGAAAGCUCUGGAUUCAGUAAGAGACCCUGUCUCAAACAACACAGAGAGCCGUAGAGGAAGACAUCUGACAUAGACCUCUGGUCUCCACAGGAGCACUCACAGGUACCAGCCCACUGUCCAACUUCCCAAGGACAGACCCAAAGCCUAGACAAAGCUAGUUAAGCACAAAGUCCCAUGGGAGCUCAAGUAAGUCCCCUCCAUCAGGCCAAAGCCCCCACCAUGAUGGCAUGAUACAGGCUAUGCUGGAGAACCAGGCUGAGCACAGAGGCUUCCAGAAGACAGCACCCCACUUCUGGAAACCGGCAUUAACCACCUCCAGUGCUGGUGAGACCCACAACAGAUCAUCUGACCUACACAACUUUCUGAAGGCUGAGAAGCCCGAGAUCAAGGCACCAGCAGACUCCAUGUCUGCUGAGGUCUGCUUCGCCAUGCUGGAAGGCAGGCUUCUCACUAUGCCUUCACAAGUUUCUGGAGGGAGGAAGCACUCAGAACUCUCAGAAGGAUGCCGAUCCCAGGCCCGAAGAUGGCAUAGUCAUGAAGAGCUUGCUGCUCUUUCAGAGGACCAGAGUUCAGUUCCCAGCACCCACAACUGCCUGAAACUCCAGCUCCAGAGAACCAGUGGCAUCUACUGACCUCCACGGGGACCCCCAAACAGGGUCCCCCAAACAGGGACCCCCAAGCAGGUGUGUGUGCACACAAAGAAACACCCGUACACAUAAAUAAAUACUGUAAAAGGUGGGUGCUGAUCUCAUUUGGGGGUUCCACCCUACACUCUUCAUAUCUCUCUGUGACCCACCCCCAAAUGUACCUACCU